GGCUGGGUGGCGAAACUGGUAGACGCGCCAGACUCAAAAUUUGGUGGUGGUGACACCGUGCCGGUUCGAUUCCGGCCCCAGCUACCA
rnacentral:tRNA from 1 species